GCAUCGGUGGCUUAGUGGUAGAAUGCUCGCCUGCUACGCGGGCGGCCCGGGUUCGAUUCCCGGCCGAUGCA
rnacentral:tRNA from 1 species